rnacentral:rRNA from 1 species
GACGAACGCUGGCGGUGUGCUUAACACAUGCAAGUCGAACGGUAAGGCCCUUUCGGGGGUACACGAGUGGCGAACGGGUGAGUAACACGUGAGUAACCUGCCCUCAUCUCUGGGAUAACAGUCGGAAACGGUUGCUAAUACUGGAUAUGAGCUUGCAAGGCAUCUUGUGGGUUGGAAAGAUUUUUUGGCUGGGGAUGGACUCGCGGCCUAUCAGCUUGUUGGUGAGGUAGUGGCUCACCAAGGCUUCGACGGGUAGCCGGCCUGAGAGGGCGACCGGCCACAUUGGGACUGAGAUACGGCCCAAACUCCUACGGGAGGCAGCAGUGGGGAAUAUUGCACAAUGGACGGAAGUCUGAUGCAGCAACGCCGCGUGCGGGAUGACGGCCUUCGGGUUGUAAACCGCUUUCAAUUGUGACGAAGCUUUUUGUGACGGUAGCAGUAGAAGAAGCACCGGCUAACUACGUG